GACGAACGCUGGCGGCGUGCUUAACACAUGCCAGUCGAACGGAAAGGCCCUGCUUUUGUGGGGUGCUCGAGUGGCGAACGGGUGAGUAACACGUGAGUAACCUGCCCUUGACUUUGGGAUAACUUCAGGAAACUGGGGCUAAUACCGGAUAGGAGCUCCUGCUGCAUGGUGGGGGUUGGAAAGUUUCGGCGGUUGGGGAUGGACUCGCGGCUUAUCAGCUUGUUGGUGGGGUAGUGGCUUACCAAGGCUUUGACGGGUAGCCGGCCUGAGAGGGUGACCGGCCAAAUUGGGACUGAGAUACGGCCCAGACGCCUACGGGAGGCAGCAGUGGGGAAUAUUGCACAAUGGGCGGAAGCCUGAUGCAGCAACGCCGCGUGCGGGAUGACGGCCUUCGGGUUGUAAACCGCUUUCGCCUGUGACGAAGCGUGAGUGACGGUAAUGGGUAAAGAAGCACCGGCUAACUACGUG
rnacentral:rRNA from 1 species